rnacentral:rRNA from 1 species
AAUGAACGUUGGCGGCGUGGAUUAGGCAUGCAAGUCGAGCGAGAACCCCGCAAGGGGGGACAGCGGCAAACGGGGUAGUAAUGUGUCGGAACGUGCCCUGAGGUCGGGGAUAGCGGCGGGAAACUGCCGGUAAUACCCGAUGAUCUCGAGAGAGCAAAGGUGUGAUUCCGCCUUUGGAGCGGCCGACAUGGUAUUAGCUAGUUGGCGGGGUAACGGCCCACCAAGGCUGUGAUGCCUAGGGGAUGUGAGAGCAUGAUCCCCACCAUUGGGACUGAGACACUGCCCAGACACCUACGGGUGGCUGCAGUCGAGAAUCUUCGUCAAUGGGCGAAAGCCUGAACGAGCGACGCCGCGUGUGGGAUGAAGGCCUUUGGGUUGUAAACCACUGUCGAGGGGGAUGAAGGCUGGAUGGUCAUCUAUCCAGUUUGACAGAGCCCUGGAGGAAGCACGGGCUAAGUUCGUGCCAGCCGCCGCAGUAA